UAUGUGGAUCUUUAUAUCAUUGAAGUACCCAUGGCCUUUAAGCCAGGAGAUGAAAUAUACCCUAGAGAUGAGAAUGGCAAAUGGUUAUAUCACAAGUCAAAUCUGUGUGCCACUUGGGAGGUAAGUUCAAAUGUGCUUCUUAUUUUAAAAGACAAUAUUUUUAAACCUGUGAUCUGAUUAUUCCUGUCAUAUUUAUGGAGAGAGAUGCACCCUUUACUUUCAAUGAAAAGUAACAGUCAGAACAGGCAUUCCUAACCAUAAGUACAGGCAUAUGAAAUCUCCACUUCUGGGUACUAAAUAAUUCUUACUUUUGUUUUGCUGGAAUGCCAAAGAAAAGAGAGAGGGGUGGAAGGAAAAACAGUGUAAACAAAAUAUGUUCUAAUAUAAAAGUAAUUAGAAUAUAUGAAUAAGAUAAAUUCACAAAUUAAAAAAUAUAUAUCAAGUUGUUAAUAUGAUGCCUACAAGAAACAAACUUAAAAUGAUACAU
rnacentral:sRNA from 1 species